UCUUUCCCUCUGUGGUCCGGCAGUCGUCGGCCACCGUGGCUCUCAUCGCGUGCGGCGCCUGGCUCCUGCCGGCGGUUUUGUCACCAGGUGGCAGGGCUGGACACCCUGCUCAGAAGUAAGGUGGGAAGAGAUGUGGGGAGGACCGAGAGUGAGAAGUGCAGAGGAGAGAGAGGGAGCGAAGGGACGUUUUCUCCCGGCUCUUUCCUUCAGAAGCCUUUAUCUCAAGACGGGAGUUCAGGGGACUCUCCAAAACCUGGGAGGCUGAACUUCUGUUGCAUCUCCGGUUGCGUUUCUGUUCCUGGGCGCAUCGGCCCUUCUUCCCUGUUAGCUGCAGUUUUAAUUAUCUGGACAGGUCCCUGUUGAAGUCACACUUGUUUCCCCCAAAGAUGACAAAGGAGAGAAACUCAGCUGUGGGGAGAGAAGGAAGACCCUCUGGGCCUUUGUGCUGCUCUGCCCCUGCACUUCCUGGUGGGAAAUUAUCCACAAUUUGCCUCCGUCUCCUCCACCUUCAGGGGGGCAUUCUCCUUCCCCUCAGCUGUAGACCCAAUAUGGAUUUAUGGCUGGGAACAAGCUGGAACAUUGGGGGAAGCCUUUAGGAACGCAUUGGUAGAGCAAGAGACAAAAAGGGAAUAUGUUAGUAGAUAGACUGACUUACAAAAUAUGGCUGGCUCCUUUCCAGUUUGUGGUGGCUCACAGUUUCCAAGAGCUACAAGGAGCUACCAGUGGAGGCUUACCAACAGAUGGAUACAUCUCUGCCCUUGUAGAACUUCUAGUCUAGCAUGGCGUGGAGACAAACAUCCAGGACGACUACCUGAAGUCGUCCCUCCCCAUCCCAUCCAAAGCCUGACCAGCCCUGUUCUCUCACCAGACUCUCCCAGAUCUCCAGUGGGAAUACAUUUCUUUCAACCCUGCGCAGCACAGCUUUUCUGUUUGCCUCUAUUCCGCACUGCCUUGUGUUCUAGGCGCUGUUACGUACGUCUCUACGAGCUGCCAGCUGCAAACACGGGGGGAUCAGAGACUCUGUUCUCAUCAUCUUUUCCCCACUGCUGUGUCUAGCACAAACCCUGGCCUGGGGCCAGAUUGAAUUGAUGGUGUGGUCCCAGUUCCAGGUGCUCCUGCGUGUGCCUCAGGCGUCUUCCUGGCUUCUGGUGGGUGAUUGGGGACAGGUGGAUUCCCUCAGUCUAUUGUCUAUUGUCCUUUGGGGAAGAAGGGGCUGUUGUCACUGUGUCCGCAGCCUUUUGCUAUCUACCCAUAACAGGACCAUUGAGACCUCUGCACACAUUUGAAUAUAAACUUAAAAUACAAAAAAAAAAAAAAGAAAAAAGAAAAAAGAG